UACGGAGGGAGCUAGCGUUGUUCGGAAUUACUGGGCGUAAAGCGCACGUAGGCGGCGAUUUAAGUCAGAGGUGAAAUCCUGGGGCUUAACCCCGGAAUAGCCUUUGAGACUGGAUUGCUUGAAUCUUGGAGAGGUGAGUGGAAUUCCGAGUGUAGAGGUGAAAUGCGUAGAUAUUCGGAAGAACACCAGUGGCGAAGGCGGCUCACUGGACAAGUAUUGACGCUGAGGUGCGAAAGCGUGGGGAGCAAAAAGG
rnacentral:rRNA from 1 species